rnacentral:rRNA from 1 species
CUACGGGGGGCUGCAGUGAGGAAUAUUGCACAAUGGGGGGAACCCUGAUGCAGCAACGCCGCGUGGAGGAUGACGCAUUUCGGUGUGUAAACUCCUUUUAUAUGUCAAGAAAAUGUCGGUAGCAUAUGAAUAAGCACCGGCUAACUCCGUGCCAGCAGCCGCGGUAAUACGGAGGGUGCAAGCGUUACUCGGAAUCACUGGGCGUAAAGGACGCGUAGGCGGGUUGGAAAGUCAGGUGUGAAAUCCUACAGCUUAACUGUAGAACUGCACUUGAAACUUCUAAUCUAGAGUAUGGGAGGGGGAGAUGGAAUUAGUGGCGUAGGGGUAAAAUCCGUAGAUAUCACUAGGAAUACCUAAAGCGAAGGCGAUCUCCUGGAACAUUACUGACGCUAAGGCGUGAAAGCGUGGGGAGCAAACAGGAUUAGAUACCCCCGUAGUC